rfam:Treponema pedis str. T A4, complete genome.
AUAAACUUUCAGUUUUGCUUAAAAGCAAAACUGAAUUAUUAUUGCCGUUUCUCAUUGCAUUGCGAAACGGCGAAAAUUCAUCAAUACUCGAUUUUUGAUAAAAUCUGCGUUUGAUGAAUUUAUAU